ACUCGACUCGGCCAUUCUCGACUCUCAGCAAAAAGCAGCAUCGCCGUCUGCAAACGCUCCAUGCGUCACAGCCCGCCCAGCGCCCGCGGCUGAGCGGCGCGGAUGUGGGGUUACAACGCGGGGCCUUCUGAGCAGGCGCGGUCAGCUUUAUAACUCGGUCCUUCCCUAGUCUCGGGAGAUAGAUCCCUCGGGCCCAUGAAGAUGAAGUUCAUGGCGUCUGCAUCAAGGCAAAAGAGGAAAACAUAUUGCACAGAUUUUCAAAUAUCGUCCUGCUGUGCCUGAAAUGUUACCAGCAUUGGGUGAAGGAGCCGAAGGAGCCACAGCAGGUGCUGUGCCACUGAGCUAAAUCCCCAGCCUGAAGGAAAGAAGAUACAGGCAAGGGCUAACCCUCACCCUGGGAAAACCACCUUCAAGAUCUGGCAUCUCCCCUUCCAGUAAGAAGACACACCUAUACCUUCACAUCAGUGCGUCCGAGUCUAAACCUGUAGAUCUGGACACACACAUACUAACUGCACCUAACAUCUGUCUGAGACUGACUACACUGCAGACCUUGUAUGGGACUAUAAAAAAUCAUGUAAUUUAAUCCUUAGAACAACUUCCCGAAGGAGAUAUUAUUUACCCAUUUAACAGAUGUGUGAAUGGAGUCACACAGAGAUCAACUCAGGGUCACAGAGCGAGUCAGCAGUGAACUUGGCAUUCCAGCCCGGGCAGUCUGGCCUCAGAGCUGGCGCGCUGGCCCGGGGCUCUUGGGCCGUCCAGCCUGUAGACAGCGUCUCUCACACAGGCCCAAGCACAGCCCUCACACGGGAGGGCUGGGGAGAUUUGGGGAGGGGUGGGCUAGUGAAUCUGGGGAGGAGGCCAGGCCAGUCUCAGGUAGCUACAUGGAGUUCUGACUUAUCUUGGCUAAGGACCCCACAACCUCUGCCCUCGUCCCCCACCUCUUGUCCUCUGAGUGUUGGUUACUGCCCCGAGGAAGGUUGUCUUCAUUCUUGGUGUUUUCAGCUUUGGUUUCCCACUUUCGUCUCAGGGCCAUGUGUCCCCAGCGGGAGGCCUUGAGGUGGGCCCAGUUUGGAAGUCCCCUGGGCUUCCUGGAGCUUGCGGGAGGGCUCUCUGCAGAGAGGACCGGGAAGCUGAGCGAGCGUUGGAGCCCGGGGGGUUCCACAGGUCUCCCCAUGGCCCUCACUGAGUGCACAGGGGGCUGAGUGUGGCUCUGAUCGGGGCCGGGCUUGGGAGGGACUGGGGGGGAGUCGCCAUCCAGGAAAGUUCCAGCAAGCUGGAGACUUUGAGAUCACCCAUCCGACCUUCUAAUUUUAUAAGUGGGGACACUGAGUCUGGGGUAGGAAGGGACAUGCCCAGGUCACCCUGCCGUCCUCAGCUUUAGCUCUUGGUGCUGACCCAGGGUUCAGAGUGUCACAGAAGGGGCUCCGUGAGGGGAGGACAAAGGUGAAGAGGACAAAUUUCCUAAGUGUACACACUGUGGAAAUUCAGGACGAACUGGAGACAGGCCUAAAGAGUCGCAGUGCUUCUCUCCGUGAUUAAGAUUGUGGUGCGGACCCGUGACCUUUUGGAAGAACUCCGACGAUGGCUUGGUGGGACAUAGGAGCAUUUUUCCCCUGGACGAGGUUCUGUGGGUUUGCAUUUCACUGGAAACCACCUGGGACAAAGGGAUUAGGGAAUUCACCUGAGGCUCCAGUUAGAUAAUCAAGUGGAACUCAGCCCAGCUAUGGGCCUGGUCCUGGACACCGAUGCUCAGCCAAGAAGAUUCUGAGAGGCCCCGCCCCACAGCCGGGAAGGAGGGAGCCCAUCCCAGGGGUGAGGUCACCACCUGCGUGGGGCAGUGCUGGUCCCUUCCACUGUCCCUGCAAUCUCAGGCCUCCCCAGUGGGGCAGCCAGGCUUCUUCGUAAGGUGUUCAGGACCCCUUGAAGGGAGCAUUUUAAAA